GACGAACGCUGGCGGCGUGCUUAACACAUGCAAGUCGAACGGAAAGGCCCUGCUUUUGUGGGGUGCUCGAGUGGCGAACGGGUGAGUAACACGUGAGUAACCUGCCCUUGACUUUGGGAUAACUUCAGGAAACUGGGGCUAAUACCGGAUAGGAGCUCCUGCUGCAUGGUGGGGGUUGGAAAGUUUCGGCGGUUGGGGCUGGACUCGCGGCUUAUCAGCUUGUUGGGGGGGUAGUGGCUUACCAAGGCUUUGACGGGUAGCCGGCCUGAGAGCGUGACCGGCGACAUUGGGACUGAGAGACGGCCCAGAAUCCUACGGGAGGCAGCAGUGGGGAACAUUGCACAACGGGCGGAAGCCUGAUGCAGCAACGCCGCGUGCGGGAUGACGGCCUUCGGGGUGUAAACCGCUGUCGCCGGUGACGAAGCGUGAGUGACGGUAAUGGGUAAAGAAGCACCGGCUAACUACGUG
rnacentral:rRNA from 1 species